rnacentral:rRNA from 2 species
CAAACGACUCUCGGCAACGGAUAUCUCGGCUCAUGCAUCGAUGAAGAACGUAGCAAAAUGCGAUACUUGGUGUGAAUUGCAGAAUCCCGUGAACCAUCGAGUUUUUGAACGCAAGUUGCGCCCGAAGCCAUUCGGCUGAGGGCACGUCUGCCUGGGCGUCACG